GCAGUCGUAGCCGAGUGGUUAAGGCGAUGGACAAGAAAUCCAUUGCGGGCUCCCCGCACAGGUUCGAAUCCUGUCGACUGCG
rnacentral:tRNA from 2 species